CAUACAAAGCUUUGAAACUUAACAUUAAUAUUUCAUUGCCAGUGCUUCUUUGCUCUCAAAAAUCAUCUUGUCGAACACUUGUGGAAACUGUGACUGCUCUAGCAAGAGUCAGUGCGGGAAGAAGGGAAGCAACUAUGCUCUUGACAUAGUUGAGACUAAGAAGAGCUAUGUGGAGACUGUUGUCAUGGACAUUCCUGCAGCUGUGCAAGUGCGGUACUAGCUGCUCUUGUGUCAACUGCACAUGCGGUCAUUAAGACCAUACUAUGUUAAAAUGUGUGGCUGUGUUAAAUGUGAUGCUCAUGUUGAUGUAAUCACAGUGAAUAAAUGUGUGUUGUGUUUGUGUCUGAGUUAUAUUUUUCCUUUGUGUCCAUCUCUGAGUCUAUAGUAAUGUAGUAGCCAUCUUUGUGGCUUUAUGCGAUUGAAUGGACUAGAAGUU